rnacentral:rRNA from 1 species
UACGUAGGGUGCGAGCGUUGUCCGGAAUUAUUGGGCGUAAAGGGCUCGUAGGCGGUUUGUCGCGUCGGGAGUGAAAACCUACAGCUUAACUGUGGGCUUGCUUUCGAUACGGGCAGACUAGAGGUAUGCAGGGGAGAACGGAAUUCCUGGUGUAGCGGUGAAAUGCGCAGAUAUCAGGAGGAACACCGGUGGCGAAGGCGGUUCUCUGGGCAUUACCUGACGCUGAGGAGCGAAAGUGUGGGGAGCGAACAGG